CCUACGGGGGGCAGCAGUCGAGAAUCAUUCACAAUGGGGGAAACCCUGAUGCUGCGACGCCGCGUGAAGGAUGACGGCUUUCGGGUUGUUAACCUUCUUUUACAGGGGAGAGCAGCAGACGGUGUCUGUCGAAUAAGCGACGGCUAAAUCCGUGAGAGCAGCCGCGGUACUACGUAGGUGGCAAGCGUUGUCCGGAUUUACUGGGUGUAAAGGGCGUGUAGCCGGGCUGACAAGUCAGAUGUGAAAUCCGGGGUCUCAACCCCCGAACUGCAGUUGAAACUGGUGGUCUUGAGUAUCGGAGAGGCAGGCGGAAUGCGUGGUGUAGCGGUGAAAUGCGUAGAUAUUAGGAAGAACACCGGUGGCGAAGGCGGCCUGCUGGACGACAACUGACGGUGAGGCGCGAAAGCGUGGGGAGCAAACAGGAUUAGAUACCCGGGUAGUC
rnacentral:rRNA from 1 species